UCGCAGAUCUUGAAUCUUCAUUUUCUGUACUUCUCUGGGUUAAAAGAAUUACACCAGCUAUUGGUAAAUCGAAUUUGCGAAGUUCACUUUUAUGUUCUUCGAAUUCGGAUUUUGUCUCUCCCUUGUUGGUAAAUAGAUCUUAAAAGUUGGCUCCUCAAAGGCGAUCGCAGCGCCACAUGGGUGGCCAGAUGCAGCAAAGCAAUGCUGCAGCGACGGCGCUCUACAAUCAUUCCGGCGGAGGUGGCGGCGGGUCCUUGCAUAAUGGGGCUCCUGCCAGCGGCGAUGCUGGUGAUGCCGUUAUGGCGCGUUGGUUGCAGUCUGCUGGAUUGCAACAUCUGGCCUCUCCCUUGGCAUCUAGCGGUAUGGACCAACGCCUCCUUCCCAAUCUCCUCAUGCAGGGUUAUGGAGCACAAUCAGCAGAAGAAAAGCAGAGGCUUUUUAAAUUAAUGAGGAACCUCAAUUUUAAAGGGGAACCUGGGUUAGAGCCAUUCACACCAACUGCCCAAAGUUUGGGAGGGCUGGGUACAUCUGAUGGGUUCUAUUCCCCGGAGUUCAGGGGGGAUUUUGGAGCUGGGCUUCUUGAUCUUCAUGCUAUGAAUGAUACAGAGCUUCUUUCUGAGCAUGUUAUCCCAGAACCUUUUGAGCCUUCACCAUUCAUGCCUAGAUUGAACAAAGAAUUUGAAGAUGAACUUAUUGUAACAACUAGCCUGCAGGAAAAAGAGCUGAAUGAUGCUGAUGCCUCUGCUUCAUUAUUCUCUGCCAAUGAAAAAGAGAUGAGCACGAGGGAAAAUAAUGUUGCUAAGAUUAAAGUUGUGGUACGUAAAAGACCAUUAAAUAAGAAGGAGAUUUCUCGGAAGGAGGAUGAUGUAGUAACUGUGAGUGAGAAUGCUUUAACUGUCCAUGAACCCAAGCUAAAGGUGGACUUGACAGCAUAUGUGGAGAAACAUGAGUUCUGUUUUGAUGCUGUUCUGGAUGAGCAUGUUACAAAUGAUGAGGUGUAUCGUGAAACUGUUGAGCCGAUUAUUCCCAUCAUCUUUCAGCGAACAAAAGCCACUUGUUUUGCAUACGGACAAACAGGUAGCGGUAAGACGUUCACAAUGCAACCAUUACCACUCAGAGCAGCGCAAGACCUUGUUAGAUACUUGCAUCAGCCAGUUUAUCGCAAUCAGAGAUUUAAAUUGUGGCUUAGCUUUUUUGAGAUAUAUGGUGGAAAACUCUUUGACCUUCUGAGUGAGAGAAAGAAACUUUGUAUGAGGGAAGAUGGGAAACAACAAGUCUGCAUAGUUGGAUUGCAAGAAUUUGAGGUGUCAGAUGUGCAAAUUGUGAAGGAAUACAUUGAGAGGGGAAAUGCCACUAGAAGCACAGGAUCUACUGGUGCAAAUGAGGAAUCUUCAAGGUCACAUGCUAUUUUACAACUUGCCAUCAAGAAGCACCCAGAGAUGAAGGAGUCGAAGCGGAACAAUGAUGGGAAUGAAUCAAAACCUGGGAUGGUUGUGGGAAAGAUUUCUUUUAUUGAUCUUGCGGGCAGCGAAAGAGGUGCAGAUACCACUGAAAACGAUCGGCAAACUAGGAUCGAAGGUGCUGAAAUAAAUAAAAGCCUUUUGGCUCUUAAGGAGUGCAUUCGUGCACUGGACAAUGAUCAGAUCCAUAUACCAUUCCGUGGGAGCAAACUCACUGAAGUGCUCCGUGACUCUUUUGUCGGCAAUUCAAGAACAGUUAUGAUCUCCUGUAUUUCUCCAAAUGCUGGUUCAUGUGAACAUACACUCAAUACUCUGAGAUAUGCUGAUAGGGUUAAGAGUCUUUCCAGAAGUGGUAAUUCAAAAAAAGAUCAGGCUGUAAAUUCUUUGCAACCAAGUAAUAAGGAUGCUUCUUCAGCAUCUUCUCUGUUAGCUACUGCUGAUGUUGACGAUGUUUAUGAGCGAAAACAGGAAGUAAAAAUUGUCGAUACGGGUAGAAGGAUUGUAGAGAAAGAUGUUUAUACUGCAGAUUUUGACAAACAGCCCUCAACAUUUGUGUCAAGUUACCCCUUCAAUGGAAGGGAGGAAAGUGGAAAAGCUUCUGACCCAACUGAUAGGGAGAGAUUUGAAGUAAAUAAUAAUUAUGGUGGUUCUACAGGUCAAAAAGUUUACCCGUCAAAUUCUCAAAAUUCAGCUGAUACUGAAGAGAAAGUGCCGAAGGUGUCACCACCUCGUAGAAAAGCAACUAGAGAAGAAAAAUCGGAGAAGAUGUGGAAUAUGGUCAAGAAAGAUGGAGGAUCUGAUUUGUCCUCCUCAAACUCUAGGCAGGCGAAUGCUGUUAAUAAUUACGAAACAAAUAACGUUGGAUAUGGACAAUAUGAUCCUGAACCUCCCACUGAUGAGAAUAUCAAUGCAAUACUUGAGCAGGAGGAAGAGGCUCUAAUUGCUGCUCACAGAAAAGAAAUUGAGGGCACAAUGGAGAUUGUUUGUGAGGAAAUGAAGCUUUUGGCAGAGGUGGACCAACCAGGCAGCCACAUUGACAAUUAUGUGACCCAGCUGAGCUUUGUACUUUCACGCAAGGCUGCUAGUCUGGUUAGUCUUCAAGCUCGCCUUGCCCGGUUCCAGCAUCGACUGAAAGAGCAGGAGAUACUGAGUCGGAAAAGAGUUCCUCGUUGAUGCAGUCAUGUGUUAUCUGCUCUAAUUGCUGCAUCAGACCUUGUCCAGUAAUUUCUUCUCCUAUAGAUUAUUACUUUGAUGCACCAAGCUGCAGUACGGCUUGAGAGGAAAUUCAGUAGUGGAAAGAUCCUGAUCCUAUUUCCUGGCAUCAAACGUUGCCAUUCUCAUACAUGUUUCCUGCAAACACAACGGUGUUGACGAUUCAAUAAGGUGAUUAUACUUAUGUGAUGCUUGAUUUAUCGACAUGUAUUGUUUAGAUGUUGAAUAUGAUGUUGUUGAGAUUGAAUGGUUUGGUGGCCAUGUGUUGUUUAA